rnacentral:rRNA from 1 species
AUUGAACGCUGGCGGCAGGCCUAACACAUGCAAGUCGAACGGUAACAGGAAGAAGCUUGCUUCUUUGCUGACGAGUGGCGGACGGGUGAGUAAUGUCUGGGAAACUGCCUGAUGGAGGGGGAUAACUACUGGAAACGGUAGCUAAUACCGCAUAACGUCGCAAGACCAAAAAGGGGGACCUUCGGGCCUCUUGCCAUCGGAUGUGCCCAGAUGGGAUUAGCCAGUAGGUGGGGUAACGGCUCACCUAGGCGACGAUCCCUAGCUGGUCUGAGAGGAUGACCAGCCACACUGGAACUGAGACACGGUCCAGACUCCUACGGGAGGCAGCAGUGGGGAAUAUUGCACAAUGGGCGCAAGCCUGAUGCAGCCAUGCCGCGUGUAUGAAGAAGGCCUUCGGGUUGUAAAGUACUUUCAGCGGGGAGGAAGGGAGUAAAGUUAAUACCUUUGCUCAUUGACGUUACCCGCAGAAGAAGCACCGGCUAACUCCGUG